AGAGUUUGAUCAUGGCUCAGGACGAACGCUGGCGGCGUGCUUAACACAUGCAAGUCGAGCGGAAAGGCUCCUUCGGGGGUACUCGAGCGGCGAACGGGUGAGUAACACGUGAGUAAUCUGCCCUCCACUCUGGGAUAACGUUCAGAAAUGGGUGCUAAUACCGGAUGUACACAGGCUGACGCAUGUUGGUGUGUGGAAAGGGUUUUCUGGUGGGGGAUGUGCUCGCGGCCUAUCAGCUUGUUGGUGGGGUAAUGGCCUACCAAGGCUUUGACGGGUAGCCGGCCUGAGAGGGUGACCGGCCACACUGGGACUGAGACACGGCCCAGACUCCUACGGGAGGCAGCAGUGGGGAAUAUUGGACAAUGGGCGGAAGCCUGAUCCAGCAACGCCGCGUGAGGGAUGACGGCCUUCGGGUUGUAAACCUCUUUCACCAUUGACGAAGCUGCAUCUUUUUGGGUGUGGUGACGGUAGGUGGGGAAGAAGCACCGGCCAACUACGUGCCAGCAGCCGCGGUAAUACGUAGGGUGCGAGCGUUGUCCGGAAUUAUUGGGCGUAAAGGGCUCGUAGGCGGUUUGUCGCGUCGGGAGUGAAAACCUUGGGCUUAACUCAGGGCUUGCUUUCGAUACGGGCAGACUAGAGGUAUGCAGGGGAGAACGGAAUUCCUGGUGUAGCGGUGAAAUGCGCAGAUAUCAGGAGGAACACCGGUGGCGAAGGCGGUUCUCUGGGCAUGAUCUGACGCUGAGGAGCGAAAGUGUGGGGAGCGAACAGGAUUAGAUACCCUAGUAGUCC
rnacentral:rRNA from 1 species